GUGGGGUGGGGUGGGGAGACUGAAUUCCUUCGGAUUUUUGCCAGCCUUGUGACCUUGGGCACCUUAUCUGCUUUCUUAGACUAUCUCAUCCUUUCUCUCAGAAAACAUUGUGGAACCUUCUGGACAAGGGGAUGCAAAGAAGGAAAAGCCAAGUGGAGUGUGGGCACACGCAGACCACCCCGAUGGUGUUGAUUUCCAUGACUUAAAUCAUUCAAUCCAGAACUGGUCCCCACUUCCCUAAGUCCUCCACAGAACCGUGGAACACAAGCCCCAACGUAAAGAGACUCCUAUGAAGACUUCCUCUAGGACGAUAGAAACCAAAUGCAAACUGGGUCAAGUGAAAAAGAGAAAACGUUGGCCCACGUAUCAGAAAAACCCCGAGCUGACUUCAGGCAUCGCUGGAUUCAGGAGCACACAUGAUAUUUUCAGGAAUGUCAUAUCUCUCCAUCUCCGGGUUCGAUCUUCUGCCUUGGGUUUGUUUUCAGGCAGAAUCCGCUAUGUGGUGGCAAAGAUGAACAUCACAGCUGAUGUAGAGAACAAAGGCAAAAGAAAAAGAAAUCAAGCUUCCUUACAACUUACAGACAGGCAGAGUGACCUUCCUCAAGGAGCUCAGCUGCCUCAAUGUCAAUACAUUGCUAGAGGCAAAAGGCAACCUUAGUUUGACAUUAGUCUGAUUUCCAGGAUCUUGUAAAAACUCCCUUUGGAAACUUCCUUUCUCUCUCCCCCACAAAGAUAUAUGUUAACAAUCAUCCUGUAAACAUAGGGCCCUCUGAUAUACAUCUGAGGGGUCUCACGACUAAGAGUUUACUGGGUUGUAGUAAAUGACCUAUUCCUAACAACUGCUAGCCCCUCAAGAUCCUGGAAACCUGGCUUCCAAAUUCCUUAGAGGUUUACACUAUCCCUAACCCCCUCCCAACUUGAAAGUAUAUAAUCAGUCGCUGCUCACAAUCUGGGUGCAACUCUUUCUGCCCAUGGGUCCUGUCCCCGUGCUUUAAUAAAACCGUCCUUUUUGUACCAGAGACAUCUCAAGAAUUCUCUCUUGACUGUUCACUCCCGGACCCCAACAUUUCCCAUCAUUUUGGUGCCCAAUGUGCAGCCUGAGUCUUCUCAUCUGGACUCCGAGCCUUAAAACCCAACUGGGGACGAUUUCCUAGGGAAAUCGGCCGUGAAGACCACGUGUGUUAGAACGUUGCUUAGACCAUGAUUCAUUUCUGUCUUUACUGAUUUCUGUCAAUGUCCCCUACUAACUACUUAAAUUACAAAACUGGGUAAUUUUCCUUUGUAAAACUUUUCUAGUGUUCUCCAUGGGUUAAAAACAGCAGGUUCUUCAUGGCAUGGCACAAUACAGUAUGUCGGUCCAUUCACCAGCACCCAUUUGCAGCCUAGGGUGCAACAGGGAAGUGGAGGGAUGUUGGCAAUCCCUCCUACCAGGCCUUUAUGGCAGGCAGGAUGGCGAUCAGUAGUGAUUUCGUUUGAGGGAUGCCUUGGGUUACUUUGACACCAGGAACCUCUGGCAUAUCCUGCACGUGGGAUGCCACCCUGGAGUCAGGGGGAGUUUUUUGGAUAAUGGACCUUCUCUAGCCUUCUUCUUUGGUUCUCAAGGACUCUCCCUUGGGAUGCCUUUUAACCCACUGGAAAUAAUUCAUAUUGUAAAAGUUAAAAAGUCUGAUCUUCGGUAACACUGCAUGACCUUAGUAUGAUUAUCUGUCAGAUCUCUUCUGCAGGAAAUGGGGCAAAUGGACUGAGAUACUCUAUGUCCAGGACUUCAUGGCCCUAAAUCAUGACCCCAAUCUAAGGUACCCUUGCAAACUGUGUUUGGCCACAAACCUGGCUGAUAAACUCCCUUCUUACGUACUGGAUGAUAAUUAAAUAGGCCUCCUCCUGAUAGAAUCCAGGUUGCUGGAGGAAACACAGGUUCUCAUCUGGGGGCCAAAGGAAGGGGACGCUGACCUUCUUUCACUGUUCCUCCUCCUAAUAGAUGUAGGGCUUCCUCAUUCAUUUCCCCGGUUAAUGACUAUGAUAAUUGGAGCCAACUGUGGUUAGUCUACCUCGGGCCAGGGACUUUAAGGAAUAUUCCCAAGCAGCUGCUAAAACUCCCUUUGUUUGAGGGAAGUUUCCUGUGUUCUCUGGCCCAACAUGGAUUGCCUAAUUCCAUUUGUUGAGGGAAAAGCAAGCAAACAAAUAUGGCAUCUGCUCAUCUGUCCGAGCUGACAAACUUUAGAACAAGGAAUCCUCUUUCUCUGUCCUCUGGCACCACCUCGAAUCUUCUGCCUCCUCCUCCCCCUCCUCCUGUUUCUGCACCCCUUGGGUGAUACCUACGUAACUGGCUCCUAUACCAUCCUUGGUGCCUCUGGCACUCUCAACUCCUGCUCCUCCUCCCCUCACUGUCAAGGAGCAAAGACCCUUGGACUUUCACCACCCACUUCAGAUUUUCCCACUGGUGUCCCAGGUAAAAUCUGACAAUGGGGAACAAAUUCAUUGACUUUUAAGUGGACCUAGGUGGAACAUAAUUCGGUACUUAAACUGAUUUAAGUUUGUUGGGUUAAUUAAUAUAGACAUGUCUUUAGAGUUACCAGCAUUACAUAUGAAAUUUUUAUUCUACCCUGGCUUACUGAAGGUCAAAUAAGCCCAUGUUAUCUCUGUUGCAGUUUGCCGGCAAAACGAUGACUUAAGAUGAUGGUUGAUUUUGUCUAUAUUAAAGUUUUCUUGGGUAAUUGUUAAGACAGUUUGAAGCUUUGCUUGGAUGAUAAAUCGGAUUGAAUUCAUUGGACAUCUAAGUCUUUUCCAAAGGAGAUAAUAUACUAAAGCAUUGAUUACUGAACAUAAGAUUUCUCUGCUUUUGACUUCUUAUUGCAAAGAAACUAAGAAUAUCUGAAUGUUGGAAAACAUGCUUUGUGCUUAAUUGACUCAUAAAUUUGCCAUCCAAAGAAUUCUGGUGUAACAGUUGACAGUUGGUUACUACUUAGUUUUCACUGGAGACUAAGGUUUCUAAGAGUUAAAAUUCUGCUAAAUGUAAUUAAGACUGAUGGAAACAAGGGAAGCAAUUCUGUAUGUAGGAAAGUAGAAAAUGUGUAGGAAAGAUGUAAGGAAUGGGAAUACAUUUUUAUCUGAUUAUUUUUUUUAAUUUAAAUGUUAGUUAACAUACAGUGCAAUAUUGGUUUCAUAAGUCGAAUUCAGUGACUCAUUACUUACAUACACC